GGUGAGAGGCGGAUGGCGAGGAGGAGGAACGCGGAGGAACCUGGGGAAGCUUAAGCCAAGAGGGACGUGGCGCUCUGCGACGCUGGCGGGGAAGCCGCGCCCCUUUCUUCUCUAGCUUUCAUGGAGAAUCUUGCGAAGCAGGAUUUGGGCGGGAUCUCACAGAACAUCAACUGGCCAAGUUCUUCGUUGUCUUCAAAAGAGGAGAGAGGGAGGCAGGAGUAUAUACUGACAAGAGACAGAGCCUUCGUAAGGACAUGAAGACUUAAUGAGUAUUUUGUGCUGGGUUUGAUGAAGAGUAGACAGUAUGGAGG